CAAAGAUUAAGCAUGCAUGUGA
rnacentral:misc_RNA from 1 species